rnacentral:misc_RNA from 1 species
CAACAAAACCUUGCUGCCUGUC